rnacentral:rRNA from 1 species
CACGCUGUAAAUGAUGGAUGCUAGGUGUUUGGUAGGACUACUUUCUUUCUUCGGAUUUAAGGUGGAAUUACUGAGUGCCGCAGUUAACGCAUUAAGCAUCCCGCCUGAGGAGUACGGUCGCAAGGCUAAAACUCAAAUGAAUUGGCGGGGACCCGCACAAGCGGAGGAGCGCGUGGUUUAAUUCGACGGCAAUCGAAAAACCUUACCAGGGUUUGACAUGUAUCUGCAUAUCUUUGGAAACAUUGAUAGCCUUAGAGGGUGAUACACAGGUAC